rnacentral:rRNA from 1 species
GACGAACGCUGGCGGCGUGCCUAAUACAUGCAAGUCGAACGCAUUUUCUUUCACCGUAGCUUGCUACACCGAAAGAAAAUGAGUGGCGAACGGGUGAGUAACACGUGGGUAACCUGCCCAUCAGCGGGGGAUAACACUUGGAAACAGGUGCUAAUACCGCAUAAUUCCAUUUACCGCAUGGUAGAUGGGUGAAAGGCGCUUUUGCGUCACUGAUGGAUGGACCCGCGGUGCAUUAGCUAGUUGGUGGGGUAACGGCCUACCAAGGCUGCGAUGCAUAGCCGACCUGAGAGGGUGAUCGGCCACACUGGGACUGAGACACGGCCCAGACUCCUACGGGAGGCAGCAGUAGGGAAUCUUCGGUAAUGGACGCAAGUCUGACCGAGCAACGCCGCGUGAGUGAAGAAGGUUUUCGGAUCGUAAAACUCUGUUGUUAGAGAAGAACAAGGAUGAGAGUGGAAAGUUCAUCCCUUGACGGUAUCUAACCAGAAAGCCACGGCUAACUACGUG